AGUCCCUCCUCCACUCAGGUGUCACACAAGCCCCUCCUCCACUCAGGUGUCAUAUAGAGUCCCUCCUCCACUCAGGUGUCACACAGAUCACAUAGAUGUCACAUAGAGCCCCUCACCCACUUAGGUAUCAUGUAGAACCCAGCCUCCACUCAGGUGUCACGUAGAACCUGUCCUCCACUUAGGUGUCAUAUAUAACCCCUCCUCCACAUAAGUGUCACACAAGCCCCUCCUCCACUCAGGUGUCACACAAGCCCCUCCUCCACUCAGGUGAACCAUAGAACCUUCCUCCACUCAGGUAUCACUAAGAACCCCUCCUCUGAUCAGAGUCACAGAGACCGCGCUCCACUUGGAUGUCAUAUAGAGUCCCUCCUCCACGCAAGUAUCCCCUUCUUCCUUCAGGUGUCACAUUUAGACCCUCCUCCACUCAAGUGUCAUACCGAUCCUCUCUUCCUUUCACACAGAGACCCUCCUCCACGCAGGUGUCACAGGGGCCCCUUCUUCUCAUCUUGUGUCCCAUAGCUCCCCUCUCCACUCAGGAGUCACACAGAGUCCCUCCUGAACUCAGGAGUCACCCUGAGCCUCUUCUCUGCUCAUGUGUCCCGUGGAGUCCUCCUUCUCUCGUGUGUUACCCUGAGUCCUGCUCACAUGUUGCAGUUGAGUCCAUUCUUCUCUCAGUUAUAAUGCAGAGCCCCUCCCUGACCUAUCGGUCACUUUCUGUCCCUGUUCCACCCGCAUGUUUCACGGAGCCUUCUCACUGUGGUCUCCCACUGGCCCUCUCCCAUCUUGAGCCACACACAGAGCUCCUCUGCCCCUGUGUGUGGUCGUGAGCCCACUCCCCAGCCAUAUGUCACUGGGGACUGUCUACUCAUGUG
ensembl:lncRNA